GUCCGUGAGGUGGGAGCGGGCGGCUGGCUUGCCCUUUCGAGCUCCCCAUUCGUCCCCUCCGCCCAUCGUCUCCUCCUGCCCCGCCCCGCCCGUCCCGCUCGCCGUGGCCGUGGCCGAUGACCGCGGCCCCGCCGUCCCGCCCUGCCCGCCGCGGCGGCCAUGGACGAGCUCGAGCUCGACGAGGGAGCAACGAGCCGCCCCGCCCGUCCCGCUCGCCGUGGCCUUCGCCGAUGACCGCGGCCCCACGCAGCACAGCGCCGAGCUCGUCUCGCUCCGCUGCGUCCUCUCCUCCUGCCGGAUUCGCCGCUCACGUCCACCAUCACUCACCCGCAACCCUGCCUCGUGGUUAGGGUUUCGGAGGUUGGCUCCAACACCGGCGGCCAUGGGGCUGCGCCUCCUCUCUGCCUGGUCGGUUCAUCCCCUCCCCCUCCUUCCUCCUCCUCCUCCUCUUCCUCUCUAUCUCUUUCUAAUCCCUCUCUUCUUUUGUAGCAACAGAGGAGAGGAGAGGGAUUGAGCCUGCAGCUCCACAUGUGCUUCAAUUCGAUUUGGAGUAGAGCAAUUGAUGUGCUCCUACAGCUGCUGUAGAAGAUAGGAUGGACGAGAGCACAUCAUUGCAGGAUUAUUGCUGUCUGCUACCAUGUCGAGAGGUUGCAAGGUUCCUGGUUGGUUCAGAUGGCAUGGACGAGUGCUCAUUUAUUCAUGGAGCUAGCGCAGCUCAUCCUUUUUCGAUAGAGGGAUUUGGGCAUCAAUCCUUGGCCUUGCUCCUGAUUAUGUAUCGGAAGUGGGAGUGCUAAUUAUGCAUUGGAUGUAUACUUUGCCUACGAAGCUUAGUGAAAAUGCUCAAAUUUACCUCAAUUAUAGUUACAAGAUACAUUGCUGGUAUUGUUCCGCAAUCAGUUUACACGUCAGGGAAGUCGGUUUUCUGCCGUCCUGCUGCUCAUCUACACUAAUUUUCCUCUAGGGAUGUGGUUAAUGUUUGUUGCUGGAUCCAAAAGUCAUCGCCGCCUGCUGGUGAUCUUGAGUCUUGACUGUCGGAUUGCUGGAACUGUUGUUGUUGUUGCUCGUGGUUGUCUCACAGUCUUGGCUCUUGGUGGCUGGUCCUAGCUUAGAUUGGUCCUCUGUGGCUCAAUCCCCUAGUCGAUGCCUCCUUCGAUCUAUGGCUGCUCUUCUCUGUUUACUGAUCUGCGGGUCAACCCUUCUUCUCCCCCUCCUUUAUGCUCCCCUUCUUUUCCAGAGCUAGGUACACGGUUGUAUGGUGAUAUGCUGGUUGUGCAUAGGCUGGAGAAUAAGAUCCUUCUAUUUCUUGUCUUGUUUCUGAUACAACCAAAAGUAUCAGUCACGUUGUGCACUGGUUUUUUUUGUGGUUGCCUUGCCUUUUGUCCCUUCCUGGUAGGGCCAACACUUGUUCCUUUGUGCAUGGAAUGUUGAUGUUUUGUUCUUUUGUGUAUGGAUAAGAGUAUUUGGGGCUUGGCUUAAUUAGGAAGGAAAAUCUAUGUGGAUAAAUUGUUACUUGGCCAGUUCUGUUGUUGGCCUCAUGUUAGAUAAAUUUCAGGUUUCGUGCUCGCUUUAUGAGCUUGGAGAUGGUCACCUGUUCAGUUUUUUUUACUUUCUGCACUGCUCGAUAAAUCAAUGACUUUUGAUUCAAUAUCUGGCCUAGGUAGCUAUUCAUUUUGCAUCAAUCUGUGUGUAGCUGAAGAAUGUUGGUUCCAUCCAUCUUGAGUAGGUUUUCUUGAGCUCAGUAAUUAAUUUGUAUGGAAAGUGUAUUUUGCCGAGUAAUAAUUAUAUAGUCUAAUGCAUGUCCCAGUUUAGGAUUACUGUUACAACUACCCCAUCUGCGGUGUUCCUGGAUUCUGGUGAUGUAGUUUCAGAAUAGCCUUCUUUUAGUCUAACAAAAGGGGAUUUUUCAUUUGUACUUUAGCAAGGUGUCUGAAGAUAUAUAUCUCGGCAAAAGAUACAAAAAAGGGAAUGUCAUACAGGGAAUGGGAACACGAUAAGAUUGACUGAUAAAUCACUUUGCUUCAGUUUAGGAGGUUCUGAUGUGGUGGUCUUGAUGUAACUGGAGUAUUCAGUGUAAAGUUUGUGGUCUGCACCUCUUCUUUUUUCUUAAGAGAACACCUAUAUUUUUUAUAUCUAAAGAGUUACUGUGACUACCAUGGGACUUGAGUAUUCAGUCCGUGUACUUCCAAGGUCUACAUCUUAACAUGAAUCAAGCACUAGGACGGACAUGUAACUUGAGUAUUCAGUCUGUGCAAGGAAAUGUGAUGCUUGGUCUGAAGACAAUAACAAUAUUUCUACAUGUAAGAAGUUGAGGUAAUAUAUUUGUUUCCAUUUGAAAAAAUAAUCCUAUUAUUCUUGUGGAUAUAUGUUAUGUAUUCCGUCAAAGCAUGUGUGCUAGAUCUUACAUUGUGAGAAAUAGCAAAAUAAGUAUUGUAUUAAACAUUGGUAAGUCAGUCUACAGUGGUUGUGUAACAUCCCAUCAUUCAGUUUGCCAGAUACUUAAUUUAUGUUUUUGCACUCAAAAUUAUUCUUCUGAUUCCCCAUAAGCCUCAACUUAUCACGGAAGCAUGUUCAGAGUUCAUUUGCGAUUCACUUCACCACUCCCUUGUGUAACUCUAUCCAGCGGUGACGUGUUGGUGGUUGGCCCCUUUCGCCGCCGUACCCAUCUUGCUGAUCUUAUGUGUACAUAUCGAUUUGAUGCAUCAUUGUCGUCCUCUUUGCACGGCGGCGUGGUGUCUCUCAACACGUGAUGGAUUCACUCACACAGAGGAAGCUUUUCUCCACUACAUCGCCGACAAGCUCACAAGCUUUUGGGUCCAUGGUGCCACCAGUAAACUAGAGACUCCCUGCGCCACCAUGGUUUUAUGUGUACUACCUCCGCAGUGGAAACUUCUGCUACAAUGUAUAUCGACACCAGAGCCAUGUUCCCUAUCAUGGUAUGGUGCUUAGCAUCAUCAUGUAUUUCCAUUCGGUGUAGUUGAGGGCUUCCAAAGUUUGUGUUUCCAAAUGAUACCUCAUUUUCCUCUUAUUUGUAUUGUUUCACAUAGUUUUCAACUAUAGGGAUAAAGAGCUAUAGAAAUUUAUGUAAUUUAGCUCCGGUAAAUGAUGCUAAACUGCAAUGUAUUAAAAAAUAUGUUGCCUAGCCACUCACAUGGCUACGUGGUAUUUACUUUCAGGAAUCUCGAUAGACUAAGGCUGAUGGUAAGAUGUGAUGGUUAUCCAAGUAGUUACCUAAUAGUACUUAGUAUUAGCUCUUCCCUAGUCAUAUCAUAUACAGGUAGUCUAUAGUUCUAUAUCCAAGAUGGUUGUUGCACCCUUUUGGCCAGUUUGGUAUGUAAGGUCAGGUUGCAUUAGUCUAUGUUAGGAUGAACUGGCUAACAUAUCAGUGAUGUAAAGUCGCCUCAUGUGUACUUUAUGUAACCUUGGACACGUGUACAACCUAUCACAUGUCCAUGUUGUUCUUUCCAUACACAACUUUUCCAUGUGCAGUCUUAAAUACAACUUGGUCUCACACCUAUACCUGAGAGCUCUCUUUGGUACAAAUAAGCAGGAAACUAUAUGCUGAAAAGUGCGGUGAUAUAUUCAGUUACUAAAUUUACUGAAUUUGUGAUCCCAAUAUUGCCAGCAGAAUAGUGAAAUGACAGGGAUUGCUCUAUAGAAAAUUUGCAGUGUCCUUGAACUUUGUGAUGGGCAAUUCAGUUUUCUAGGGCAACUGGUCUGGUCCAAACUAAUAAAUGCAUGGGUUUUCAUGUUAUGUUCCCUGUAAGAAGUUGAUCUUUGUUUCUUAUGUAUUUGCCUUUAGCUCUUUUGUUCAUUGCAUUGUUGCUUGUUGAUGUUCUUACAUUAUUUUCUGAUCGCUUUAUUACCGGGUUGAGAAUGACCGCACCCGCAGGGGUGCGGCAAGCCGCACUUCUUACCUGUACCGUCAACAGAGGAGCGCCGGAGAGAGAACCCAUUGAAUGCAGAAGCCUGAAGGAGUCCAUAAAGUGCAGGCUGGUCAAGAGUGAGGUCCGUGUGUCACAACAUGCAAGGAAAUCAAAUAUGGAGUGUGGGUAAAGUUAUAUAUCAAGAAAAUUGGAUCAAAGCAUGUGGACAAAGUUAUAUAUGAAGCAUAUCGGAUGAAGGCUUGUGGAUAAAGUUAUAUAUCUAAUAGAUGUAGUUUACUAUUAUGCAGUAUAAAAAACAAUGUAAAUAAGUUAGCUGGGAUUAAUACUAUGGCCUGCUUUUGGUUUCUAUCAUACCAAACCUUGCUUAGGUAUUUCACGUCACAUUUUAUAACAAAUGCGUCGAUGGCAUGCAUAUAUAGGGUCAUCUUUUUAGAUAUCUUACGGGGUGAUUACUACUGUGAGUAUCUACCAUCACCUACUCAGAUAUAUUUCCAUCCUGAGAUAUAUUGAGUAAUAUCAGAUGUUAAUCGAAAUAGUUAUAUCAGGGGUUUGAUCAUUGAACUUAGUUGAUUAAUUCCUUAUACAUUUUUAUCCUGAGAUAGUCCCUACAUUUCCAUCCUGAGAAACCUAUUUUUUUUCUAUUACCGGGUUAGCAAAAACGGGUUGUGUGGGAGUUGGGGUUGGGCAAGUAGCACCUCUUUGAUUAAGUCCACAUCAUAAUUGAGAGGCAUUGUAGUAGUGGAUCAGUUCAUAGAUAAUGCCAUGUUUUAUAUGCAAUGCUUCAAUGGUUGUAUUACCGGGUUGGAUGAGUGCACCCAAAUACAGAUAAGAGACCAACAAUAACAAACAAUUGGUUAGGCUCUGUCAAAGCGGCAGGGAUCAGAGAGUAUCAUAUGUGUCUUUGCCUUCAAAAUUGAAAAGGGGAACCAUUCCUCCCUGUUCAUGAGCUUUGAAAGGUUAAGGUACAAUAUCGCAAGUGCAAUUUUUGUCUACACAUAAAUCGUUCUAUGCAAAGUAUCUAACAGAUUGCAUGCAUCAGGUUAAUGUGACGUGCCGUCUAUGAAGUUGAUCAACAAGGCAGCCGAAUGAAGCAACUUAUUAGUAUGCCUAAUAGCUAUGGCUACGUAGUUUUUACUUAUUUAUAUUGUGUUGGUACUUCCUCUCUCAUAUUUGCGCUCUUAGUACCGAGCUUAAUAUCAAGUGGUUUCCUUUUGUGGUCUCAUGAACGCACUAAAUUGAAUGCUGCCUUAUUUAUCAUGAAGAUGUCAAACGCGAUGACGUUUUGCUCC
rnacentral:rRNA from 1 species